UGGAGCAACGCCGCGUGAGUGAAGAAGGGUUUCGGCUCGUAAAACUCUGUUGUUAAAGAAGAACAUAUCUGAGAGUAACUGUUCAGGUAUUGACGGUAUUUAACCAGAAAGCCACGGCUAACUACGUGCCAGCAGCCGCGGUAAUACGUAGGUGGCAAGCGUUGUCCGGAUUUAUUGGGCGUAAAGCGAGCGCAGGCGGUUUUUUAAGUCUGAUGUGAAAGCCUUCGGCUCAACCGAAGAAGUGCAUCGGAAACUGGGAAACUUGAGUGCAGAAGAGGACAGUGGAACUCCAUGUGUAGCGGUGAAAUGCGUAGAUAUAUGGAAGAACACCAGUGGCGAAGGCGGCUGUCUGGUCUGUAACUGACGCUGAGGCUCGAAAGUAUGGGUAGCAAACAGGAUUAGAUACCCUGGUAGUCCAUACCGUAAACGAUGAAUGCUAAGUGUUGGAGGGUUUCCGCCCUUCAGUGCUGCAGCUAACGCAUUAAGCAUUCCGCCUGGGGAGUACGGCCGCAAGGCUGAAACUCAAAGGAAUUGACGGGGGCCCGCACAAGCGGUGGAGCAUGUGGUUUAAUUCGAAGCUACGCGAAGAACCUUACCAGGUCUUGACAUACUAUGCAAAUCUAAGAGAUUAGACGUUCCCUUCGGGGACAUGGAUACAGGUGGUGCAUGGUUGUCGUCAGCUCGUGUCGUGAGAUGUUGGGGUUAAGUCCCGCAACGAGCGCAACCCUUAUUAUCAGUUGCCAGCAUUAAGUUGGGCACUCUGGUGAGACUGCCGGUGACAAACCGGAGGAAGGGUGGGG
rnacentral:rRNA from 2 species